UGACUUCCGCGGACCACGUGUGGACUCGUGGCAGAGAGGUAGACCAAAGAAUCUCCAGUGUAAAUCCUCCUCGUGCAGAACCCGUGCGUCUUCCAGCCCUCAGAAGCGAUUUGGUCCAAGUACAGCCAACAUUGCUAAAGUUACCCGCGAUCCCAAGACAAAAGUGGUGACAGUGUGGACAGUGGAGAAGCCUCCCUCACCAAAAGCUGCAGCCUUAAGACCUGGUCCCAGACCAUGGCGAUUCUAAGCCAGUUACCCCAACCCAAAGAGCA